AGAAAUCUCAAUACAUCAUCUCUAUUACAAAAUGGAAGUACAUUUGAUGGACGGUUUUACAGACACAAAUGCAUGACAACAUAGCAAUGGACCUCACUGAAAAUGAGCAGUAUACUGGUAUUUGGAAUGAUUCUCCAGUUGUGCUGCCUAGGUCGUGAGUACACAGAACUGAGCAGGGCUUCAGUUUCUAAAUAAUCUGCUAGCAGACUUGCUAAUGGAAAAGCAUCUCCUGGUCAAAAUUAAAAAACUGCAUUUUAAACAAAAAUAAUUAAACAGCAAUGCGGUAUUGGUGCUCAGAUUCUAUGGGAGUCAUUCACAAAGAUAUCACUGCUGCCCAAUCACAUCUAACUAGAUUGUUCCAUAAAAAUCAUAACGCAACUCUCAGUGAAAACAAAGAAGAAAUAACAUAAUAAUACGCAUUGAAACAAGAAAUAGUGUCCAUUGAUGCUCAGAUUCUAUGGGUGUAUAGAUGUCGUUCACAGGGAUUUCCCGUCAGUACGAGGAAUGUUUUAUAAUCACUGCACCAAAGAAGGAUCAAUUGACUCAUCAACAACAACAAAACAGAGUUUAAACUGCAAUUUGGGGGCGAGCGUAACCCAAGAUCCAUCUGGACGGAUUUGUGCUUUAAAAGCCACCUGAACUACAUCUCAGGAGCGUUGUUAACUCAGAUGCUACAACAGCAGCCGAACAUUCAAACAGUGCUCCCCACAUUACAUGAUGAAACAUCGAGCAGAAGACAACAAAGUAUGAGGAUAUUCAUAUGGCUCAGACAUCCAAGGAAGGAAUUAGCAGCAUUAGCUCUCAAGCCUGGCUGGGCGAAAGAUCUUAGGCGGCAUCUGCGAAUGUUUUGAGAAACAAGCCUUAAAUUUAUCAUCAUCGCCAGAACAUAUCCUCAAAAGUGAUCAAAUCGACAAAUAACUUGUGAGCCAAUACAAAAAUAUUUUAACCACAAUAGCUAUACCAACCAAAAUAAAACUAAGGUUCAACACACAAACAACAGAGCAAACAAUAUGAGAGAAUCCCUCAGAGACCCAUUUAAAAUCAUGCACACAGCUGAACCAAACCAGGUGCAAAUGGAGAUUCCAGCCCUGACCAAACCACAAAGGUAAUAGCCAUGGAGGACAUGUGCAGUGGUGAGAAACAGCUGCUGUUUACAGUGUCAUACGGCACUUCCUGGUCUAAGAAUCAUCACCGGGAAAAUUUAAGUUAACAAAAUUAACUAUAUAAUUAAAAAAGAAAAUCAUACGCUACUGGUUUUGUGCCUCAGAAAGCCGCAAAAAUAUCGUCAUUCAAAAUCAGACGGUAAUUCCAACAUAAAGCUAAUCAUCAUAGGCUUCAUUUACUUUGCAGGUCUCUAGUGUAAUCAUAAUCGCUGUCCAGCUGACAAAAAACUAAAACAAUGACUAAGAUAACAUGGUGUAUCAUCAGAAUAUAAAAGCCUUCUCAUCCACAGGAAAAUAGGCACUGUGUCAGAAGGCGUCCUAAGAUUGAAUAAGGUUUCAUCACUUGAUACAGACGAAAUCUAGAAGAAAAUAAAAACUAGAAACUGAUCUAUAUAAUGGAUUCAGUUGCAAAGAUGACAUCACAUAGGCAGCUAAUGCAACCCCUCGGAUCAAGUGUUGGAUUAUGCAUCAAUACCUCCUCACAAUCCAAACAGAUCAUCGACAAAAAUAACAGCAAAAAUGAUUGAAAAUAUAGCUGCUCAGUGGUGGCAAUGUUUAAUUGGUUCGAUUCUGCCAGCAAUGUCGUCAAUGCUUUCAGAAGAGGGAGCUUGAUAUCCUCAUUGCAACUACACUCUCCAAACGAAACACACGCAUCAAACAAAAAAUAGGAAUAAGAACAAUGAACGGCAGAUUCAAAAUAAAGGGUAUGAGAUGGCUCGGUUCAGCGGGAUAAUCGGCAUACAAAUCAACUCCUGAGAGAAGACCUGUAAUUUGGUCUGUUGAGCUUGAAUAUUUGCAAAUCGUCACUGCCAUCACCCAAGAAUAUUGAGUAGAAAGGAAAAUCAAACCAACUAUCUAAAUUUUAAUUUGCUGAGUCAGAUUUAAUAGUAUGUCAAUCAGCACAGAUCCACCUAAGCGGAACCUAAGACUGGGGCGACAAAUUUGAAAUCAUCAUCCUCAUAACUACAAAGAUCUGCUGACUAUGUUCCUUCUGUACCGUACAAGAUUAUUUCAGUCUAAAUGAAUUUCAAUUGAUAAUAUGUAAAAUGAAGACUCAGAAUAUGGGUGGUGAUAUAGCAGGAUGGUCGGCAAGGCAAAUAAAUGCCAGUUACGACGAACGAGACCAAAUACCAAUCUUCACCGUCCUCUACAACAAAUUCAGACAUGACGUUGAAAAAUAAUUAACAAGCAAACUAACACACGAAAUGUUGAUUCUCAAGAAAAAGCUUAAGGGUUCUAAGGUCAUCAGAUAGGAGCGAAAGACUAAUUUUGUUCAAGUAAUCACGAUUUGAUCAUAUGAACUAUGCACUUGUGAUCAUCAUCCGACCUUAGCAAACCAAUAAUUCAAGAGAAAAAACAAAACGCCAAGAAAAGGACAGAAGGAUUAAAGGGAUCGUGAUGCCUCAGAAGGAAGGCAGUAGGUUAUGUAAUCACUAGUGAUUCAUUGAGAAAGGUUCACACUAAUCAUCAUCAGCACCACGAAACCACAAAUAAUCGAAAAUUAAAAAAUGAGCAGGAUCAUUGGCCUCAUAGAGAAGAUUAGAUCGUUCCACAUGAAGAAAAUUCGGACAUAUGCUUGUCUAUAAAUUUAUUUUAAUCCUCGGCCAGCGAUAAACAAGGAAAAAACAAGAACAAAUCAGCAGAAGAGUGUUACUCGGGGUGAGGUAAUUCUAAUCAAGAAGAGGACUCGGAAUAUGGGUGGUGAUAUAGCAGGAUGGUCGGCAAGGCAAGAAGAUGCCAGUUACGACGAACGAGACCAAAUAUCAAUCGUCACCGUCCUCGAGCCAGAUGCAAAAAUCACCACGGGAAGAACAAGAACCGAAAACGGGUUGCAGAACAAGAAGGCAGGUCGAGAUCUGAUGGGUCAGAGGGAGAGGAGGGGGGAAGAACCUGUUUGCUGGGGUGGAUGGGAGGUGGC
rnacentral:rRNA from 1 species